AACGAACGCUGGCGGCAUGCCUAACACAUGCAAGUCGAACGAGACCUUCGGGUCUAGUGGCGCACGGGUGCGUAACGCGUGGGAACCUGCCCUUAGGUUCGGAAUAACUCCCCGAAAGGGGUGCUAAUACCGGAUAAUGUUUUCGGACCAAAGAUUUAUCGCCUUUGGAUGGGCCCGCGUUGGAUUAGCUAGUUGGUAGGGUAAAAGCCUACCAAGGCGACGAUCCAUAGCUGGUCUGUGAGGAUGAUCAGCCACACUGGGACUGAGACACGGCCCAGACUCCUACGGGAGGCAGCAGUGGGGAAUAUUGGACAAUGGGCGAAAGCCUGAUCCAGCAAUGCCGCGUGAGUGAUGAAGGCCUUAGGGUUGUAAAGCUCUUUUACCCGGGAUGAUAAUGACAGUACCGGGAGAAUAAGCUCCGGCUAACUCCGUG
rnacentral:rRNA from 1 species